UGAAAGAUGUAAGUGUGCAUUCGUGAAAUACGUUGAAAAUGUGAGGAUAAUUCUAAAGUUAUGCCCUGAAUGAACGUUUGGAUAGUGUAACUUUUGCAGGAAAUCAUUUUACGGUCAUUAGGAUUUUUUAUUUUCAGCUUCGGAAGAUAUACAAAUUAUUUUAAGGUGAAUUGAUUGUUCAUCGUUUAUAAGUAUUUUAAGCAUAACCUACGGCACUAGUACGCAGACACAGAUGCAGAGAAAACGAUGUUUCAAAGAACCUUCCAUUUAUUAUGCAUACUCUAUGAUUUUACCAUUGGUUAAGGUUGAAUGCGUUACAAAUCUGUGAUUUCUAAGAAAUGGCUUAAGUUUUCUGAAAGUUUUAGUAAAAUAUGCAAAGAAAGUCGUUUUUUUCAAAUGAAAUGGUUUAAAAAAGCUCGAUCCAGCGUUCUUCUGCUGCGUUACUCUCUGCUGGAGUGUCUCUGAACCGUCCGUUCCAAAGUCCCUGUCUGGACCUCUGCUCACUCUCAAGCACCGUUCGUGGAUCACCAAACUCCCGAAAAAAAUCUACUACUUUAUAAAUUUUUUUGAGUUUUUGUAUUUAGAAAUUAUCAAUUACAUUGUGGGCUCUUUUUCA